CCUACGGGAGGCUGCAGUGGGGAAUAUUGGACAAUGGGCGAAAGCCUGAUCCAGCCAUGCCGCGUGUGUGAAGAAGGCCUUCGGGUUGUAAAGCACUUUCAGUGGGGAAGAAAGCCUUGGGGCUAAUACCCUCGAGGAAGGACAUCACCCACAGAAGAAGCACCGGCUAACUCCGUGCCAGCAGCUGCGGUAAUACGGAGGGUGCGAGCGUUAAUCGGAAUUACUGGGCGUAAAGCGCGCGUAGGCGGUCUGAUAAGCCGGUUGUGAAAGCCCCGGGCUCAACCUGGGAACGGCAUCCGGAACUGUCAGGCUAGAGUGCAGGAGAGGAAGGUAGAAUUCCCGGUGUAGCGGUGAAAUGCGUAGAGAUCGGGAGGAAUACCAGUGGCGAAGGCGGCCUUCUGGACUGACACUGACGCUGAGGUGCGAAAGCGUGGGUAGCAAACAGGAUUAGAUACCCCGGUAGUC
rnacentral:rRNA from 1 species